GUGGGGAAUUUUGGACAAUGGGGGCAACCCUGAUCCAGCAAUGCCGCGUGCAGGAAGAAGGCCUUCGGGUUGUAAACUGCUUUUGUACGGAACGAAACGGUCCUGGUUAAUACCUGGGGCUAAUGACGGUACCGUAAGAAUAAGCACCGGCUAACUACGUGCCAGCAGCCGCGGUAAUACGUAGGGUGCAAGCGUUAAUCGGAAUUACUGGGCGUAAAGCGUGCGCAGGCGGUUUUGUAAGACAGGCGUGAAAUCCCCGGGCUCAACCUGGGAAUGGCGCUUGUGACUGCAAGGCUGGAGUGCGGCAGAGGGGGAUGGAAUUCCGCGUGUAGCAGUGAAAUGCGUAGAUAUGCGGAGGAACACCGAUGGCGAAGGCAAUCCCCUGGGCCUGCACUGGCGCUCAUGCACGAAAGCGUGGGGAGCAAACAGGAUUAGAAACCCCAGUAGUCC
rnacentral:rRNA from 1 species